AUUUCCAGCGCAAACGUCGUCGUCCUCGUUUGCAUCUCUGUAAAGUGUAAUGCUGUGUGUAUAAAAAAUAACUGUUAUCAUCAAACUGUUGCAAAAAAACCGAAGUUUUUUUUUCGAGACGACACAAAGGAAGUUUGGAGCUCUCAUUUUUUUCCAUGUGAAGAAAGUGAAGGUUACGUGCAUGUGUGUGAAGCCGGGUUCCGAGUUAAUGCGAAGAAUUUAGAUUUAUGUCCCGGACGAUACGUUCUAGCUGCUGCAAUAAGUCUGGCGAAGUGAAAAAGAUUUAUUCGCUGUCAACUUAAUCGUUCUCGUCGUUGGUUACCAGCGCAGUGAGUGUCAGCAUCAUCAACAUCAGUGUGCAGAGUUAGUGUUCCGGGGGUGUGGGUGAAACAGUAGUGAAAAGCUUGUUGUUGUGCCGAUGUAAGCGAAAUUUAAGUGCAGAAAAGUCUGGCUCCCGAGAGCAAAUAAAUUCUAGGAGUCAACUAUUUUCGAAGAAAAUUUAUUGCCCCUAAGUGAAAUUUCAUCGAGUGCAACUAUCUGAAAAUCAUACAAUUGUUGGCAAAUCGUAAAAAAGGAAGAUAUAACUAGUGAGCGGAGCGCAAUCUUAGCACACGGCAGUGAAAAAUUUUACGAGAAGAGUUCAUGUUCAUGUUCGCUCUAAACCAAGUCAUAUAAAAGUUUUUCCCAAUCGGUGCACGAUUGUUAGUUGUGGCAAAACAACGCAGCUCGGAUUUCAGUCCGGGAGGGGUUUCUAUGGUGAAAUUUAAUUGAUGCGAGUAUCGGGAGUCGUUAAGCAUUUUAUUGGGAAACGAGCAGACUGGUGACCCCAAAAAGCGAGGAUUGCACAGUUAAAAGUUGAGCUUGCCGAACGUCCGAACGGAUCGAGCGGAUUAACCUUCUGUUCAUGAGAUCGGCGAGGAACGCCAACCAGCCGAUAAUGUUGUACUAAAAGUCCGGUAUAAUAAAAUUUGAAAAGGGGACUACAUUAUCCGACAAUCUGUCCGGCUGAUAGCUACAAAAAGGAACCCCGAUGGAGCUGUCGCGUCAACCAACCACUGUCUGAGAAGUAACUUGUUGUGUGUGAUUGCUGUAUCCAUCGUCGAUCGAGCAUUCGAACUCCGCGGAGGACCUAUAGGGGUCACGUCAGGGGCGACCGGCAGGGAGCCCAACGCACAUUCCUUAAAGGUAAGAAAAUUUAACAAACUCUGUACUUUUUUGGGGAGGGCGGUCCAUCUUGAACUGGAAUGGGGUCAUUGAACUGCACUGUCGUGUAACCCGUUGGUCGUUGUGGUCACCAUCGUCGUUCGUCGUGCUGCCUGCAACUGGUAAUUUGUGUCCCUUUUUUUUCGGGACAGAAACUCAAUUAUCUCAUCGAUGUCGGUGUCGUAUUUCAUCGAGGACUUCUCCUCUUCUGGAGCUCACAUCGCAUACCUUCGAGUUCGAGUUAUUCAUUGCGUGACGAUGAUGGUUGGUUGUUUAGUAUCCAAUGAAGGGAUAAGAAAAAAAGGAGAUUUUUUUUUCGGGGCGAUGGUAAAAGAUGUCGAACAGCUCAGCAUCGGCGACGUGGAAUUACAAAUGAUUGCAUGUGUUCGUUCAUCUUGGAAAGGAGCUGUGCACGGGAUGCUGGAUUGGAUGGACACAAAAGGGAUUUCUGAUGCAUUGCAUAUGAAAUGCAUUGUGCUUCGGGUGUUGGCACAGAAGAACGCUAAAAUGCAGUGGUUGGGAACGAAUUUUAAAUAAAUGAUGUAGAUUGGGGGAAUCGGACAAUGCACAAGGUGUACA